rnacentral:rRNA from 1 species
AUACGGAAGGUCCGGGCGUUAUCCGGAUUUAUUGGGUUUAAAGGGAGCGCAGGCGGAGAUGCAAGCGUGACGUCAAAUUUCGGGGCUCAACCCCGUCUCGCGUCGCGAACUGCGUCCCUUGGUUGCGGGAAGGGGAGGCGGAACUCGUGGUGUAGCGGUGAAAUGCAUAGAUAUCACGAAGAACUCCGAUCGGGAAGGCAGCCUUCCGGCCCGUCAACGACGCUCAUGCUCGAAGGUGCGGGUAUCAAACAGGAUUAGAUACCCUGGUAGUCCGCACAGUAAACGAUGGACACCCGCGGUUUGGCCUAUAUGGCUGAGCCGCCAAGCGAAAGCGUUAAGUGUCCCACCUGGGGAGUACGCCGGCAACGGUGAAACUCAAAGGAAUUGACGGGG